rnacentral:tRNA from 1 species
GGGGAUUUAGCUUAGUGGUAGAGCACUUGCCUAGCAAGUGCAAGGCCCUGGGUUCGGUCCCCAGCUCCA